CGCCGCAGGUAGGAGGAGAGAAGCUAGAGGUUGGCUGUAAGGCUUCGGCAAACUGCAGCUGCUUCCUGAAACCACCGCUCCUGGGCGGCAGGACUUAAACACGAAAUACCUUAGCGUCAUCCCUGAACUGCAGAAUCAGAAUGUUUUCCUUGGUUGCCCUGGGCCAGAUCCAGCCUGGAAAGAAGACUCUAGGGCAGGUGGACUCUGCAUUUGUUCUCCAGCCUUUUCCUUAGCUACCUCCUGCUUCAGCGAUGCUCAUGAGAUUCAUCCACAUUAUUACACAUCCUGGUACAGUGGGUCGACCUUUCUUCCAGUGCCUGGGAUUGAACUCAGGGCCUCAUGGAUGCCAGGCCAUUGCACUGCCCCAGAGCUAUACAUCCCUUCAGCCCCUUAUUCUUUUAUGAUUGGAUAAUAGUC
rnacentral:lncRNA from 1 species